rnacentral:tRNA from 1 species
GGAUGUCGAAGAUUAAAGUCCUUCCUACUG